GAUGAACGCUAGCGGCAGGCUUAAUACAUGCAAGUCGAGGGGCAGCAGCUUUAUAGCAAUAUAGAGGCUGGCGACCGGCGAACGGGUGCGGAACACGUACACAACCUUCCUUUAAGAGGGGGAUAGCCCAUAGAAAUGUGGAUUAAUACCCCGUAACAUAGCGGUGUGGCAUCACACAGUUAUUAUAGUUUCGACGCUUGAAGAUGGGUGUGCGGCUGAUUAGGUAGUUGGCGGGGUAAAGGCCCACCAAGCCUUCGAACAGUAGCUGAUGUGAGAGCAUGAUCAGCCACACGGGCACUGAGACACGGGCCCGACUCCUACGGGAGGCAGCAGUAAGGAAUAUUGGUCAAUGGACGCAAGUCUGAACCAGCCAUGCCGCGUGAAGGAUGAAGGUCCUCUGGAUUGUAAACUUCUUUUAUAGGGGGCGAAAAAAGGGAAUUCUUUCUCACUUGACAGUACCCUAUGAAUAAGCACCGGCUAACUCCGUGCCAGCAGCCGCCGUAA
rnacentral:rRNA from 1 species